GAUGAAGAACGCAGCAAAAUGCGAUACUUGGUGUGAAUUGCAGAAUCCCGUGAACCAUCGAGUUUUUGAACGCAAGUUGCGCCCGAAGCCUUUUGGCCGAGGGCACGUCUGCCUGGGCGUCACGCAUCGCGUCGCCCCCCCACAAUUCUCCGUAAAGGGAACAUGUGUUUUGGGGGCGGAUAUUGGUCUCCCGUGCUCAUGGCGUGGUUGGCCGAAAUAGGAGUCCUUUCGAUGGACGCACGAACUAGUGGUGGUCGUAAAAACCCUCGUCUUUUGUUUCGUGCUGUUGCUCGCAAGGUAAACUCUUUAAAAACCCCAAUGCGUCGUCUCUUGACGACGCUUCGACCGCGACCCCAGGUCAGGCGGGACUACCCGCUGAGUUUAAGCAUAUCAAUAAGCGGAGGA
rnacentral:misc_RNA from 1 species